GGAGAGGUGGCAGAGCGGUCGAAUGCGGCGGUCUUGAAAACCGUUGUGCCCGCAAGGGUACCGGGGGUUCGAAUCCCUCCCUCUCCG
rnacentral:tRNA from 1 species